CAUAGGUUAAUGAGGCGAACCGGGGGAACUGAAACAUCUAAGUACCCCGAGGAAAAGAAAUCAACCGAGAUUCCCCCAGUAGCGGCGAGCGAACGGGGAGCAGCCCAGAGCCUGAAUCAGUGUGUGUGUUAGUGGAAGCGUCUGGAAAGGCGCGCGAUACAGGGUGACAGCCCCGUACACAAAAAUGCACAUGCUGUGAGCUCGAUGAGUAGGGCGGGACACGUGGUAUCCUGUCUGAAUAUGGGGGGACCAUCCUCCAAGGCUAAAUACUCCUGACUGACCGAUAGUGAACCAGUACCGUGAGGGAAAGGCGAAAAGAACCCCGGCGAGGGGAGUGAAAAAGAACCUGAAACCGUGUACGUACAAGCAGUGGGAGCCUCUUUAUGGGGUGACUGCGUACCUUUUGUAUAAUGGGUCAGCGACUUAUAUUCUGUAGCAAGGUUAACCGAAUAGGGGAGCCGAAGGGAAACCGAGUCUUAACUGGGCGUUAAGUUGCAGGGUAUAGACCCGAAACCCGGUGAUCUAGCCAUGGGCAGGUUGAAGGUUGGGUAACACUAACUGGAGGACCGAACCGACUAAUGUUGAAAAAUUAGCGGAUGACUUGUGGCUGGGGGUGAAAGGCCAAUCAAACCGGGAGAUAGCUGGUUCUCCCCGAAAGCUAUUUAGGUAGCGCCUCGUGAAUUCAUCUCCGGGGGUAGAGCACUGUUUCGGCAAGGGGGUCAUCCCGACUUACCAACCCGAUGCAAACUGCGAAUACCGGAGAAUGUUAUCACGGGAGACACACGGCGGGUGCUAACGUCCGUCGUGAAGAGGGAAACAACCCAGACCGCCAGCUAAGGUCCCAAAGUCAUGGUUAAGUGGGAAACGAUGUGGGAAGGCCCAGACAGCCAGGAUGUUGGCUUAGAAGCAGCCAUCAUUUAAAGAAAGCGUAAUAGCUCACUGGUCGAGUCGGCCUGCGCGGAAGAUGUAACGGGGCUAAACCAUGCACCGAAGCUGCGGCAGCGACGCUUAUGCGUUGUUGGGUAGGGGAGCGUUCUGUAAGCCUGCGAAGGUGUACUGUGAGGUAUGCUGGAGGUAUCAGAAGUGCGAAUGCUGACAUAAGUAACGAUAAAGCGGGUGAAAAGCCCGCUCGCCGGAAGACCAAGGGUUCCUGUCCAACGUUAAUCGGGGCAGGGUGAGUCGACCCCUAAGGCGAGGCCGAAAGGCGUAGUCGAUGGGAAACAGGUUAAUAUUCCUGUACUUGGUGUUACUGCGAAGGGGGGACGGAGAAGGCUAUGUUGGCCGGGCGACGGUUGUCCCGGUUUAAGCGUGUAGGCUGGUUUUCCAGGCAAAUCCGGAAAAUCAAGGCUGAGGCGUGAUGACGAGGCACUACGGUGCUGAAGCAACAAAUGCCCUGCUUCCAGGAAAAGCCUCUAAGCAUCAGGUAACAUCAAAUCGUACCCCAAACCGACACAGGUGGUCAGGUAGAGAAUACCAAGGCGCUUGAGAGAACUCGGGUGAAGGAACUAGGCAAAAUGGUGCCGUAACUUCGGGAGAAGGCACGCUGAUAUGUAGGUGAAGCGACUUGCUCGUGGAGCUGAAAUCAGUCGAAGAUACCAGCUGGCUGCAACUGUUUAUUAAAAACACAGCACUGUGCAAACACGAAAGUGGACGUAUACGGUGUGACGCCUGCCCGGUGCCGGAAGGUUAAUUGAUGGGGUUAGCGGUAACGCGAAGCUCUUGAUCGAAGCCCCGGUAAACGGCGGCCGUAACUAUAACGGUCCUAAGGUAGCGAAAUUCCUUGUCGGGUAAGUUCCGACCUGCACGAAUGGCGUAAUGAUGGCCAGGCUGUCUCCACCCGAGACUCAGUGAAAUUGAACUCGCUGUGAAGAUGCAGUGUACCCGCGGCAAGACGGAAAGACCCCGUGAACCUUUACUAUAGCUUGACACUGAACAUUGAGCCUUGAUGUGUAGGAUAGGUGGGAGGCUUUGAAGUGUGGACGCCAGUCUGCAUGGAGCCGACCUUGAAAUACCACCCUUUAAUGU
rnacentral:rRNA from 1 species